GAUGAACGCUGGCGGCGUGCCUAAUACAUGCAAGUCGAGCGAACAGACGAGGAGCUUGCUCUUCUGACGUUAGCGGCGGACGGGUGAGUAACACGUGGAUAACCUACCUAUAAGACUGGGAUAACUUCGGGAAACCGGAGCUAAUACCGGAUAAUAUAUUGAACCGCAUGGUUCAAUAGUGAAAGACGGUUUUGCUGUCACUUAUAGAUGGAUCCGCGCCGCAUUAGCUAGUUGGUAAGGUAACGGCUUACCAAGGCAACGAUGCGUAGCCGACCUGAGAGGGUGAUCGGCCACACUGGAACUGAGACACGGUCCAGACUCCUACGGGAGGCAGCAGUAGGGAAUCUUCCGCAAUGGGCGAAAGCCUGACGGAGCAACGCCGCGUGAAUGAUGAAGGUCUUCGGAUCGUAAAACUCUGUUAUUAGGGAAGAACAAAUGUGUAAGUAACUAUGCACGUCUUGACGGUACCUAAUCAGAAAGCCACGGCUAACUACGUG
rnacentral:rRNA from 1 species